UUAGAGCCAGACUGCCUGGGUUU
rnacentral:miRNA from 1 species